rnacentral:rRNA from 1 species
UUCUGGUUGAUCCUGCCAGACCUGACUGCUAUCGGAUUGAUACUAAGCCAUGCGAGUCAUUGUAGCAAUACAAGGCAGACGGCUCAGUAACGCGUAGUCAACCUACCCUAUGGACGGGAAUAACCUCGGGAAACUGAGUAUAAUGCCCGAUAGAACAUUAUGCCUGGAAUGGUUUAUGUUCCAAACGAUUUAUCGCCGUAGGAUGGGACUGCGGCCUAUCAGUUUGUUGGUGAGGUAAUGGCCCACCAAGACUAUUACAGGUACGGGCUCUGAGAGGAGUGGCCCGGAGAUGGGUACUGAGACACGGACCCAGGCCCUAUGGGGCGCAGCAGGCGAGAAAACUUUGCAAUGUGCGCAAGCACGACAAGGUUAAUCCGAGUGGUUUCUGCUAAAGGAACCUUUUUUAGUUCUAAAAAUACUAACGAAUAAGGGGUGGGCAAGUUCUGGUGUCAGCCGCCGCGGUAAAACCAGCACCUCAAGUGGUCAGGAUGAUUAUUGGGCCUAAAGCAUCCGUAGCCUGCUCUGUAAGUUUUCGGUUAAAUCUGUACGCUCAACGUACAGGCUGCCGGAAAUACUGCAGAGCUAGGGAGUGGGAGAGGUAGACGGUACUCGGGAGGAAGUGGUAAAAUGCUUUGAUCUCCCGAUGACCACCUGUGGCGAAGGCGGUCUACCAGAACACGUCCGACGGUGAGGGAUGAAAGCUGGGGGAGCAAACCGGAUAGAUACCCGGGUAGUCCCAGCUGUAAACUAUGCAAACUCAGUGAUGCAUUGGCUUGUGGCUAAUGCAGUGUUGCAGGGAAGCCGUUAAGUUUGCCGCCUGGGAAGUACGUACGCAAGUAUGAAACUUAAAGGAAUUGGCGGGGGAGCACCACAAGGGGUGAAGCCUGCGGUUCAAUUGGAAUCAACGCCGGG